UACAGAGGGUGCGAGCGUUAAUCGGAAUUACUGGGCGUAAAGCGUGCGUAGACGGUAGCGUAAGUCAGAUGUGAAAGCCCCGGGCUCAACCUGGGAAUGGCAUUUGGGACUGCAAGGCUGGAGUGCGGCAGAGGAGACUGGAAUUCCUGGUGUAGCAGUGAAAUGCGUAGAUAUCAGGAGGAAUACCGAUGGCGAAGGCAGGUCUCUGGGCUGACACUGGCGCUCAUGCACGAAAGCGUGGGGAGCAAACAGG
rnacentral:rRNA from 1 species